UGGGGAAUAUUGCACAAUGGGCGCAAGCCUGAUGCAGCCAUGCCGCGUGUGUGAAGAAGGCCUUCGGGUUGUAAAGCACUUUCAGCGGGGAGGAAGGCGUUAAGGUUAAUAACCUUGGCGAUUGACGUUACCCGCAGAAGAAGCACCGGCUAACUCCGUUCCAGCAGCCGCGGUAAUACGGAGGGUGCAAGCGUUAAUCGGAAUUACUGGGCGUAAAGGGCACGCAGGCGGUCUGUCAAGUCGGAUGUGAAAUCCCCGGGCUCAACCUGGGAACUGCAUUCGAAACUGGCAGGCUAGAGUCUUGUAGAGGGGGGUAGAAUUCCAGGUGUAGCGGUGAAAUGCGUAGAGAUCUGGAGGAAUCCCGGUGGCGAAGGCGGCCCCCUGGACAAAGACUGACGCUCAGGUGCGAAAGCGUGGGGAGCAAACAGG
rnacentral:rRNA from 1 species